UACGAAGGGGGCUAGCGUUGUUCGGAAUUACUGGGCGUAAAGGGCGCGUAGGCGGAUACUUAAGUCGGGGGUGAAAGCCCGGGGCUCAACCUCGGAAUUGCCUUCGAUACUGGGUAUCUUGAGUUCGGAAGAGGUGAGUGGAAUGCCGAGUGUAGAGGUGAAAUUCGUAGAUAUUCGGCGGAACACCAGUGGCGAAGGCGACUCACUGGCCCGAUACUGACGCUGAUGCGCGAAAGCGUGGGGAGCAACAGGG
rnacentral:rRNA from 1 species